AGAUAUAAAUGUAUGUUAUGUUAUUGCUUACCGUAUCUUAAACUCAACAAUCAGAGGAGCUUCCCGAACUCCGCGUUCCCACCCGAAGGUUGUGUUAUGUGUUUGGGGAGUCUGAUAAGGAAGUGAUAAUAAACCAGACGGAAGGAAUAUGUCAACUUGUCCUCAGUUCCACUUCUCCUUUGUUGUUGUGUUAUGUGUUUGGGGAGUCUGAUAAGGAAGUGAUAAUAAACCAGACGGAAGGAAUAUGUCAACUUGUC